CUUGGUGCGUCAGCGCGCAAACUUGAGCACAAAGCAGGGAAAGGAGCGGUCCCCCUCUUUCCUUUGUCUGAUGCAGGGCGCUUUGAGGAAGACAAGUUGACGGGGAUGCUCUUUACAUCUACAAACCGCGCAAUAACGCACGACUUGUUGUUCUGUGGGAUUAUAUGUCUUUGUUUGCUUUAUCGGCCGUCACAUGGAGUUGGUGCUGCUUUUGUCCCUGGUGAUGUUGCGACGCGCUGGCUGCCUGUCAGGAGAAGUUGGCGGAGAAAAAUGCUCCUCUUACGCACGCUGCUUAAAGACAAAGUGCUUGUGGGAUUUUAACACCAGAUUAACCGACUCACCAAAUUUCCUCAGGAAAGGUUAAAGGAAUAAAAAAGCCUCCACAAAAUCUCCACAAAUCUUGCAGCAAAUGUAGCCAGUCACCUAUCAAGCACUUUAAGACGAAGCUCUGCGGAUUAAGACACAGUGGCCUGGUUUCAUUUUUGGAGAAGGUGAAGACUCAUCUCUGAAGGAUUUAAAGUUGAGCAGCAGAACAGAAGUACCGUGCAGGAUGAGUUUAAGGCACACUUGGAAAUCUCAAACUCUUGAAGCGACUUUGCGGAUUAUAAAGAUCUUGAGGCACUUACAACUUCGCUGGAUAAAGGCAGGAUAUCCUUCGUUCCUUUACCAUACGAUAUACAAGCCAAAAUAGUGUAACUCUCCAAAUGGGACGAUACACGUGAACAGAGCCAGUGAACAAGCCCUAUGUCAAACAGAGGAGGCGGCUGAGACACUGUGGGCGUGUGGGAGUGGAGAGGUCUGGGAGAUCAUGACCUUAAUUCUCUCCAAGACAGACGGUUUAAUUAACACCAGAGAAAUCCUCACUGACUUCCCAGCUCUACAGUCAAAAUGUACGGAGAAUGAACUGCAAAGGUAUGGGACUAAGGUCCUCUCAGACAUUUGGCGGACUGUGAAGGUAACAGACGAUGCCCAUGAAUGAUGAAUGAUGACUGGAGGUCUGUCUGAUGCCAGCUGAAUACAUAUUACAUCGCACAUCCAGCCGUUCUCUGGCCUUCUCGCCACAAAACGGUGCAUCACAUCAUUGACUGAGCGUCCCCACGGCAACAUGCGCGACCAUCUGAGAAGAGAUCUAAACAUAUUCAAGACCCUUUGUGGGUUUUUCAUAAAGCAGAGACUCGGACUAUUCACUUUAUUUUGUGUACACUUGAAAUCAUACUGUUUUUUUAACUUGCUGACCAACUUAGCUGUUAAUUAAUGAAUAUUAUCUCGU